GAAAAAACAAAGUAAAGUAGAAAAUGGCUGGCCCUUCAUCUUCUGAACCAAAACUCAGAGAAAAUGUUGAAAACACUUGCCGAUUAGAGAAGCGGAUAGAAAAUCUGAUUGAAACUAACAUAGCACAACAAAUCUCGCUAGAAACACGAAACUAAUGAGCGUCCGAACACCUCUUGUCUUCAUCAGCUUAUUCUUCCACUCGUCGAGGAGCUUCUUCAAUCUAGAAGAAAUAUUCUUCCACUCGUCAUCGUCAGCCGUCAAUAGGUGUGCCGCCCGAUUGCCAGCUCUGGGAAUGAAAUUAAACAAGCAUGGAUUAAAAGCCUCAGCACGUCUUUGAGCCUCCCAAAUGAGAGCACCGAUUCCAAAGAAUCAACAGUCGGAAGGAGAGCUUUGUGAUUACAGAUCUGAAAUCUCCCUCAAUUAUCACCUCUCAAAAGCCCAGAUCCGUGACAAAAGAGACUGCAUGAACCACUGCCAUAGCUUCUGCCACAAACGGCAAGGCAAACUCCAACAAACAGAGGGAGACUGGAAGAGACCUUCAGUACGGACACAUGUAGUGGAGACCUCAACACUGCGAGCACGAAAAAAGUAAUGGCUUCAUCCACUCUCGUUCGCUUACCUUCAUGAUACUGUAAAUAUCGGUAGUACCAUAGUGCCCACAUCAUUACCAAAAGUUUUCAUAUGUUUGUGCGAUGCUCCAUGGGAUAAAACCCAUUCAAGCCAAUCGGGAAACUCCAAUGUAUUCAUUUGCUCGGGCCAA